CCAGAGAGCGCUGUUUACACUAGCUAGUGUUAAUCCCCUAAAGUUCAACACCACAACUUUAACACUUUACUCUGAAAGUCCUUAACACUAGGAUUUCAACACUGGAGAUUUUGCUGUGAGAAAGUCAUUAUUUCUCAUCUCAUACUGCUGACCUGCGGCACUGAUUCAGUGUCAACAUGGUGAAGGAAUAGCACACAGGUUGUCCUUUUCCAGCUGUCUCCAAGCUGUUUGGACUCUCCUCUGACGGCACCCAUUCACUGCAUAUUAUCCAUUGGUGAGCAAGUUAUGUAAUGCUACAUUUCUCAGACUCUCUUCUGAUGAAGAA